UAACCUACCUAUAAGACUGGGACAACUUCGGGAAACCGGAGCUAAUACCGGAUAAGAUAUCGAACCGCAUGGUUCGAUAGUGAAAGAUGGUUUUGCUAUCACUUAUAGAUGGACCCGCGCCGUAUUAGCUAGUUGGUGAGGUAACGGCUCACCAAGGCAACGAUACGUAGCCGACCUGAGAGGGUGAUCGGCCACACUGGAACUGAGACACGGUCCAGACUCCUACGGGAGGCAGCAGCC
rnacentral:rRNA from 1 species